GACGAACGCUUUCUUCGUGCUUAACACAUGCAAGUCGAACGGAAAGGCCCUGCUUUUGUGGGGUGCUCGAGUGGCGAACGUGUGAGUAACACGUGAGUAACCUGCCCUUGACUUUGGGAUAACUUCAGGAAACUGGGGCUAAUACCGGAUAGGAGCUCCUGCUGCAUGGUGGGGGUUGGAAAGUUUCGGCGGUUGGGGAUGGACUCGCGGCUUAUCAGCUUGUUGGUGGGGUAGUGGCUUACCAAGGCUUUGACGGGUAGCCGGCCUGAGAGGGUGACCGGCCACAUUGGGACUGAGAUACGGCCCAGACUCCUACGGGAGGCAGCAGUGGGGAAUAUUGCACAAUGGGCGGAAGCCUGAUGCAGCAACGCCGCGUGCGGGAUGACGGCCUUCGGGUUGUAAACCGCUUUCGCCUGUGACGAAGCGUGAGUGACGGUAAUGGGUAAAGAAGCACCGGCUAACUACGUG
rnacentral:rRNA from 1 species